UACGAAGGGGGCUAGCGUUGCUCGGAAUCACUGGGCGUAAAGCGCACGUAGGCGGAUAUUUAAGUCGGUGGUGAAAUCCUGGAGCUCAACUCCAGAACUGCCUCCGAUACUGAAUGUCUUCGAGUCCGGGAGAGGUGAGUGGAACUGCGAGUGUAGAGGUGAAAUUCGUAGAUAUUCGCAAGAACACCAGUGGCGAAGGCGGCUCACUGGCUCGGUUCUGACGCUGAGGCGCGAAAGCGUGGGGAGCAAACAGG
rnacentral:rRNA from 1 species